GGCAACUUCAGGAACGCAAAAACUUGAAUAGCAUCUACUAAAUACAUAAUUUGCUCAAGGGAGAAAAGUAACCUCUGAUGGGGGACAACAAACCACUCUAAUCCUUGACACUUAGUAGGACCUCACUACAAAUAACUGUUGAAUAAAUGCUAAGUGGCUAUCACAAUGUUCCUCCUUAAUAAGGAGGUGCUGUCUACCUAUUUCGUCCCUUUACACAGAACAAGCAUUUUAAUUCAGAACUACCCUGAGUUUGUUGGAGCUCAAAAUUCCUUCAUAGGCCCUGGUGCCAAAUUCCAGAUUGCGUUUUUAACAGGUCUGGAUGGCGUCGGGCAGAAGCCCAACCAUGACAAUAAGUAAGCAAAUGUUUUUAUUACAGGAAACAUUUUAAAGUACAAUAACAUUUUAAAGCUGGUUUUCAGGCUCUACCUUCCCUUUUGUUGCCAUUUACCACAGGAAAAGCGGUCAGAAUUCGCUUCUCAGCAUGGAAACCACUGCUCCGGAAGCCUAAGUACUGAGGGGCAUUGGUUUAGGUGUCUUCUACAUUGGAGGUAAGUUAUAGAUCUUAAAUGUCAGUUAGACAACACACACAAAAUAACGAGUAAGUGCUCCCCCCAACACACACACACACACACACACACACACACACACACAGAUGUUCUAAUACUGAACACACCAGGUGGCCACCCCGGCUAGUCUAGGAAGCUCCAUUU